rnacentral:rRNA from 1 species
AUGGCGCCACGAAGGAAGUUCUCUGCCGCCGAGAAGGGGAAGGCCCCUCGCGAGGGCCCCGGUUCCCCGACGCCCAAGCAUGGUCGCGGCCGUGCGCGCAAGCACGCUGCGACCCCCACUGUGGCCCACCAUCGAGGUGGCGCCGCGGCACGCGGAGGGGACCGUCCCAACCAUGGCGGUCCAGCUGACGAGGGGAGGCGCGCUAUGGUGGCGCGGCCUCCCCGCCCACGCUUCCAUUCAGCAGAGGUGUCGCCGGAGUUCGUUGUUUGGUCGGAGAACCCGGCCGGCAACUGGCUCCAGCUUCCGCGCUUCUUUGUCGAUGAACUGUCGGCCCCUAGUCCAGGCGGGCUCUGGUUGCAGACGAAUGGUUGCUGCAGCAAGGCCUCCUGGGUCGCGGUCGAGACUUCCUCCACAGGCAACAUAGCCCUGGCCCGCGGCUGGCAGAUGUUCGCCCGUGCGCGCGGCCUGGGCAGGCGGUGCACGCUCCACUUCAGGUAUGACGGUGGGUCGACCCUCUACGUGAGGAUGUUCGGGGAAGAUGGUCGCCGUGCCGGGUGCUGCCCCAAGACGAACGACGGUGAGGAGGUGCUCGGCCUUGGCGACGGUCGCGACAAGGAUGAGGGCGAGCCUGCCCUCGGCGGCGACCGCGUCUCUUACAGCUACGGCGGCACUUCCUUUGGUGACAGCUCCAGCAGCGGUGGCUACAACCAGCCGCCGCGCCACUGCACCCGCUUCGAAGGAGGCAGCGGGUCAUCUCACCGUCACGCCUUCGUGAAGCACGAGGAGGGGUCUGGCUAG